rfam:Gossypium arboreum cultivar AKA8401 contig_7363_9, whole genome shotgun sequence.
AAUUAAAAUUUUAAUCUAUUUCUACUGUUAAAAACUAAUGUGGCUGACGAAAUAACCAAACAAUUAUACGUGGUGUAUCACGUGUACCUCAUACUGACAUAUAUAGACUAAUUUUUAAUAGCAUAAAUGGAUGAAACUUUUAAUA